rnacentral:lncRNA from 1 species
GAUUUCUUAAUAUGAACUGUAACCAGUAAAAUCUUUGAUAUUAUUGUAUGUUGCAUUCAUAUUUUCAUUCAGUUUAUAUGAUAUAAUGACAUUAACUGUACUGUAGUAUCUCUCAUGUGCAUCCAUUAAAACCCAUAAUUGUCAUAUAAAGCAGAGAUAAUGUGUGCAGGAUUAUAAUACAGUAUAGAUACAAAAUGCUCAGUUCACUCAAGUAACACGUUGCGUUCUAAACAGUAAUCUCACAUUGCACACAAUGACAUUACAGAUCCCAAUGACUGAUUAGUGUUGCAAAAUCGGAUGGAAAUGAACACAAACAUGACUUGACAUGACUUGCAGAUGAUAUCUCGAGCAGAACUUCUCAACAUCUCUGUUUAUAAGGCCUUACAUUUUGACUGAGAAGACACCUGAACUUUCUGAAUACUUUUUUAGGAAGGCAGAGGUCAUCUUCUCUUUGCUGACUUUGAACUGCAGUGAGACCACCAGAGCACCACCAUUGUCCAGGUCAUCAUGGGAGUCAUGACUGUGUCUGUUCUUUUCUGCGUCCUCCUCACCUUCCUGGGGACCGAGGUGACUGGGAGGUCUCCCCCAUGGUAUCCCAAAUUACCCCCACCAGUGGAGAGAUUUGCAAGAAGAUCUGAACCAAUACCAGAUCCGUACCAGUGUCCAUCUGGGUUUUCUCGACCCAACCGUUACUGGAGCACUUGCUACCGUUUCGACAGCAGUUUGAAGUCAAUGUCGGCGGGAAAGAAUGCAUGCCGUCAAAGAGGUGGAUCCCUUGCUUCUAUCACCAACAGUAACGUGUACGAGUAUGCUCUUUCCCUGGUAGAAGAUGGAUAUAUCUGGGUUAAGGGGAGCCAUGCGUCUGAAUUUCCCCAGAAGAACUGGUUGAAAGGCUCUGUGCGUGACCAGAAUGGAAAGCAUGAGGGCUGCUUGACAUUGGUGAAAUUUGGUGAAAAAACUGGUUUUGAUGAUAUCAGCUGUUCCAGUAUGGACAACACCGCAUUCACUCUCUGCGAGAUAGAAACGUCUUAAUUCUUAGUUUAAGAAGGCCAAACAGAGAGUGGAUUUUGCCAAUACUCUCUGAUUUUCUUUUUCUACUAUCUCACUAAAUUGUUCUGAAUUUACUUUAAGUCUAAUACUUAGAGACAAUAUAAUGAAAAGGGAUGUAAUGGCUACAUAUUCAUACAUAAUGAUACAUUGAUUCAAUUGCAUUUCACGUGGCCUUUUUUCGACUGAAAAUAAUAGUCUGGUUUUGCAAUGGAAUUGUCACUGUAGUAUUCUGGAAGCUAUCUUUAAGAUACUGUACCAAACAUGUGGGUACGUACAAUCCCAUUUCAAGAUGAACUAUAUAAUUACGAACACAUACAGUUAUUCUCAAUACUUACUCUAACAGUGGAAAUAGGCUAUACCCCAUUAUAUCUGGAAUAUCUAUUGAAUUUGUGGAAUUGUUGUGUCAUGUACAUCCCUCCUUGCUUACCUUGCAUAUCUUUUCGAAUAAAAACAUUCAGCAUCACCCUGUCUCAGCAUGAUCAACUUAUAUCACUGUAAAAUAAACAACAUCAGUCAAUAGGGUCAUCUCAACCAGCAGCACUUAGAUAAAUAAUGAUAUCUCGGGCAGAACUUCUCCAAACCUCUGUUUAUAAGGCCCUACAUUUUGAAUGAGAAGACACCUGAACUUUCUGAAGACUAUUUUAGGAAGGCAGAGGUCAUCUUCUCUCUGCUGACUUCGAACUGCAGUGAGACCACCAGAGCACCACCAUUGUCCAGGUCAUCAUGGGAGUUAUGACUGUAUAUGUUCUUCUCUGCGUCCUCUUCACCUUCCUGGGGACUGAGGGAGGUCUCCACCAGGGUAUCUGCGAUUAGCUGCACCAGUGGAGAGAUUUGCCAGAAGGCCCCCACCAUGGCCAAAUCAGAACCCAUGUCCUCCAGGGUUUUCUCGACCCAACCGUUACUUGCGAACAUGCUAGCUUUUCGACAACAGCUAUUCCUUAUUCCUGGAUCUGGAUUUCCCCAGAAGAACUGGAUGAGAGGUUCUCAGCGUAACAUGAAUGGACAGAGUGAGGACUGCUUGGCACUGCUGAAAAUCAAUGGUGAAGCAGGCUUUGAUGACAUGAGCUGUUCCGGAAUCGUCACCUCUGCCAAAACUCUCUGCAAGAUUCAUACUUCAAUGGACUGACUUUCGUAGGAGUCCAAACAGAGAGUGGAAAAGGGGUUUUGCCAACUCUCUGAUUUUCUUUUUCUAGUAUCGCACAAAAUUGUUCUGAGUUUGAUUUAAGUUGAGUACAAUAUAAUGAAAGGUGACGCAAUGGCUACAGAUACAUACACAAUGAUACAUUGAUUCAAUUGUAUUUUUGAAAGCAGAGUAAACACUUGAGUAAACAAGGGAUACAAAGAAUAUUUGAAAGCACGUGCUUCCACACAGGUGUGGUUCCUGAGUUAAUUAAGCAAUUAACAUCCCAUCAUGGUUAGGGUCAUGUAUAAAAUGCUGGGCAGGCCAUUAUUUUGGCUACCAUGGUUAUGCCCCCAUAGAAUCCACAGGGCACGAAUGGUCACUGAAUCGUUUGAUGAACAUGAAAUCGAUAUAAACCAUAUGUCAUGGCCGUCUCAGUCAAUAGAUCUCAACGCAACUGAACACUUAUUGGAGAUUUGGGAGCGUUGCCUGAGUCAGCAUUUUCCACCACCAUCAACAAAACACAAACUGAUGUAAAUUCUCGUGGAAGAAUGAUUUCGCAUCCCUCCAAUAGAGUUCCAGACACUUGUAGAAUCUAUGCCAAGGUGCAUUGAAGCUCAUGAUUGCUCGUGGUGGUCCAACACCCUGUUAAGAUACUUUAUGUAGGUGUUUCCUUUACUUGGACAGUUACCUUUCAAUACAUAAUGAUACUUUGAUUCAAUUAUAUUUUGGGUGGUCUUUUUUUUAUUGAAAAUUAUUGUCAGGUUUUGCAAUGGAAUUGUCCCUAUACAGAUGUGGCAUCUGAAUUUGAUCAUUAUUUUCUUGCUGAGGAAAUGCAACUUGUUGUGCAUACAAGGUUUUUAAAGGCUUUUAAAAUUUGCAAUUUCCAUUUUAAAAUGUCAGACUUGAUUAGCCCUAAAAAAUAUGUAUCAACCCCUACAAAAAAUGGCCAUGAAUUAUAAUCCACAUAAUAAUUCACAUUUCCUGUUGCUUCAGGAUCAUUUUCUGUAACAUACUGUAACAUACUGGCUCAAAUUAAGAUCUUACAUCAGUGUCACGUUCUGACCAGUAAAGGGGUUAUUUGUUAUUGUAGUUUGGUCAGGAUGUGGCAGGGGGUAUUUGUUUUAUGUGGUUCGGGGUGUGUGUUUAUGUAGAGGGGUGUUUGGUUAGUGUUUUCCGGGUUUUUGGGGCUAUGUUCUAGUCUAGUCUUUUUAGUUCUAUGUUUAGUUAAUUGAUUUGGCCUUCAAUUGGAGGCAGCUGCUCCACAUUGCCUCUGAUUGAAGGUCCUAUAUAGAGGGGUGUGUUUUGUAUGGGUUUUGUGGGAAGUUGUGAUUGCAUAGCUGUGUUUAGCCUGUAAUCCUGUUCGUUCGUACGUUUUGUUUUCUUAAGUGUUCAAAAUAAAUAUAUAAUGAGCACUCAACUCGUUGCGCUUUGGUCCACUUACUAUGACGACCGUUACAAUCAGAAUUCUGGAAGUGAUCGUUAAGAUUC